CAAGCACAAGCUGAUUUCUCUAUUGGUGGAUCUCUUGGACCCGUCGAAGGCUUUAACAUUGAUAGCUCCAUCUUUGAUCUCAUGCAAACCUUUCCCCAAUGUCCUGAGAUUUAUUAGUGGACAAUUAUCAAGGUUGGAUCCCCCGUCGACCAAAGUGAUGAAGUAAUCUUUGUUUUGCACGGUAAUGUGCUAUGCCUUGUUGUAACUGAGUCCUUCUGGUGGUAGCUCAUCCUCUUGGAAGGUGAUCUUGUGACUUUCCAACACUUGUCCUACCAUAUUUUCCAUCUCGC
rnacentral:lncRNA from 1 species